rnacentral:rRNA from 1 species
UACGGGGGGGGCAAGCGUUGUUCGGAAUUACUGGGCGUAAAGGGCGCGUAGGCGGCCUGUUAAGUCGAACGUGAAAUCCCCGGGCUCAACCCGGGAACUGCGUCCGAUACUGGCAGGCUUGAAUCCGGGAGAGGGAUGCGGAAUUCCAGGUGUAGCGGUGAAAUGCGUAGAUAUCUGGAGGAACACCGAUGGCGAAGGCAGCCUUCUGGGCCAACACUGACGCUCAUGCACGAAAGCGUGGGGAGCAAACAGG